CCCGCAGACCGCCUUAUCGUCGUUCCGUAAGGAAGGGAGGAAAGUCCGGACACCAGAGAGUAGCAUAGCGGGUAACACCCGUCAGUUUGUCUUCGGACAGAUUAGGACAAGUGCAACAGAAAGUAUGUACAGGUAAUGCUGUAGUGAAACCAGGUAAACUCUAUGCGGUGAAAUGCCAUGUAUAUCAACAUUUAAGGGCUGCUCGUCCGUUGUUGAGGGGUAGGCAGAUGGAUCUCACUGGUAACGGUGAGACUAGAUAAAUGAUAAGGGUCCGCUUCGGCGGAUACAGAAUCCGGCUUACAGGUCUGCAUUAUUU
rfam:Flavobacterium sp. 40-81 scnpilot_p_inoc_scaffold_168, whole genome shotgun sequence.